CCCUUAGACGUUCUGGGCCGAACGCGCGCUACACUGACCAGUGCAACAAGCAUCCGUCCUUGGCCGACAGGCCCGGGCAAUCUUUGAACGCUGGUCGUGAUGGGGAUAGACUUUUGCAAUUUUUGGUCUUCAACGAGGAAUUCCUAGUAAACGCAAGUCAUCAACUUGCAUUGAUUACGUCCCUGCCCUUUGUACACACCGCCCGUCGCACCUACCGAUUGAAUGGUCCGGUGAAGCCUCCGGAUUGGCGCGCACCUCGGUGCCGCCGAGAAGUUGGCUAAACCUUACCAUUUAGAGGAAGGUGAAGUCGUAACA
rnacentral:rRNA from 1 species